GGUGAUAAUAAGGUGAUUUAUUACUCACAAUGCAGGAACAAUAGUGAACAUAGCAACAUUCUGACUUGAAACCUCUCUUCUGAUCCAGGAACAAGUAUCCUGAGCUGCCGUUCAUGAUUCAGGUUGGCACCAAUCAAAUUGGAAGCACAUUAAUUAUACAUUACUGUUUCUGAGCCACAGUUUUUUUUGUUUUUAUCUGCUAAAGACGUGAAGAAUGGGAACACUACCGUUGCAUCUCCCAGACCCAGAGAAGAAUGUUCACUCCCAUGUUCUCACCUUUUUUUCGUCUUUAUUUGAUGACUAUAACUUUGUCAUUCAUAUUUUUUAAAAAUUGUGGGUGGAUGUUUUGAAUUUUUUAAAGAUACACAGUAAAUAUCAACUUCUUAAAUUUUCCCUCGCUGCUUCCAGAGGAGGCUGGUAUAUUUUUUCUCUGGUCAACAAAGAGAGAAGUAUCAAGUUUUAGGUGAAUGCCCAAAGAGUCCACUAAUACUUACUGCUCAAUAAAUUGCUUCACUCGAUAAUGAACACCGUGCCUGAACAACUGAAACUGACCCUUGGCUUGGUGCAGCUUGGAGCAUGCUUUUUUAUAUUGUUUAGAGAUGUUCAGAUUAAUGUUUUACUCCCUACUUAACUGGUUACACAACUGGCUUUACUUAGGUGAGUAGUGGGAUAUAAAAGACCCUGCUGUAAAGUUUUGCCCAGGCUCCCUUCAGAUCAAGACAGUUUAUGUGAAUCUUUGUGGUUCAUAACCUGAAAACAAAGCACAUUCUAUGUGCCUGAGAUGGGAUUCUAGGGGCUGGGAACCGUCACUGAUUACCUGUACUGUCCUUCUCCUGUUGUACCAUACCAUUUUCUUUUAAUAAAGACUUAUGUGAGUACACCUU